CUGUUAGAAGCUUGUUCUAAAAAGGGGUCACAAAAUCAGCCAGACACUUUAACUGCAGAAAAAUGCCCCAUCCUUGAUCAUCUUCUCUCCGCUCUUGUUCUCUAUUUUUGGUUAGAUGCACAGAUUGUCCUCAUGGGAAUAAGGAAUUAAAAUGUCUUAAUCUGCACACACUGAUAUCACUGUGUGUUUUCUUUCAAAGCUCUACUGGGGAAAAAAUGAAGUAGAUAUCUUUUUUUUUUCCUGCUCCAAACCAAU